rnacentral:rRNA from 1 species
UACGGAGGGUGCAAGCGUUGUCCGGAUUCACUGGGCUUAAAGGGUGCGUAGGUGGGCAAGUAAGUCAGUGGUGAAAUCUCCGGGCUUAACCCGGAAACUGCCAUUGAUACUAUUUGUCUUGAAUACUGUGGAGGUCAGCGGAAUAUGUCAUGUAGCGGUGAAAUGCUUAGAUAUGACAUAGAACACCAAUGGCGAAGGCAGCUGGCUGCACAAAUAUUGACACUGAGGCACGAAAGCGUGGGGAUCAAACAGG